rnacentral:rRNA from 1 species
UACGGGGGGGCAAGCGUUGUUCGGAAUUACUGGGCGUAAAGGGCUCGUAGGCGGCCAACUAAGUCAGACGUGAAAUCCCUCGGCUUAACCGGGGAACUGCGUCCGAUACUGGUGGGCUUGAAUCCGGGAGAGGGAUGCGGAAUUCCAGGUGUAGCGGUGAAAUGCGUAGAUAUCUGGAGGAACACCGGUGGCGAAGGCGGCAUCCUGGACCGACACUGACACUGAGGAGCGAAAGCCAGGGGAGCAAACGGG